rnacentral:tRNA from 1 species
ACCUGGCUGGCUCAGUCAGUAAAGUAUGAGACUCUUGAUCUCAUGGUUGUGAGUUCAGAUCCCAUGUUGGGCA